UACGUAGGGAGCGAGCGUUGUCCGAAGUUACUGGGCGUAAAGCGCGCGUAGGCGGGCUGUUAAGUGAGAGGUGAAAGGCUGGGGCUUAACCCCAUGCAGUGCCUCUCAUACUGGCAGUCUUGAGUGCGGCAGGGAGAAGUGGAAUGGCUGGUGUAGCGGUGAAAUGCGUAGAUAUCAGGAGGAACACCGGUGGCGAAGGCGGGUCUCUAGGCAGUAACUGACGCUGAGGAGCGAAAGCGUGGGGAGCGAACAGG
rnacentral:rRNA from 1 species